rnacentral:rRNA from 1 species
AUUGAACGCUGGCGGCAGGCCUAACACAUGCAAGUCGAACGGUAACAGGAAGCAGCUUGCUGCUUCGCUGACGAGUGGCGGACGGGUGAGUAAUGUCUGGGAAGCUGCCUGAUGGAGGGGGAUAGCUACUGGAAACGGUAGCUAAUACCGCAUAAGUUGGAAGACCAAAGAGGGGGACCUUUGGGCCCCUUUGCAUUGGAAGUGCCCAGAUGGGAUUUGCUUGUUGGGUGGGUAACGGCUUACCAAGGCGACGAUCCCUAGCUGGUCUGAGAGGAUGACCAGCCACACUGGAACUGAGACACGGUCCAGACUCCUACGGGAGGCAGCAGUGGGGAAUAUUGCACAAUGGGCGCAAGCCUGAUGCAGCCAUGCCGCGUGUAUGAAGAAGGCCUUCGGGUUGUAAAGUACUUUCAGCGGGGAGGAAGGGAGUAAAGUUAAUACCUUUGCUCAUUGACGUUACCCGCAGAAGAAGCACCGGCUAACUCCGUG